rnacentral:rRNA from 1 species
UACGGGGAAUCAGGGUUCGAUUCCGGAGAGGGAGCCUGAGAAACGGCUACCACAUCCAAGGAAGGCAGCAGGCGCGCAAAUUACCCAAUCCAAACACUGGGAGGUAGUGACGAGAAAUACUGGGGACGCUCCUAGAGAACGUCGUCCGGAAUGAACGUAACAUAAAAAAUUCGAUGAGGAUCUACUGGAGGGCAAGUCUGGUGCCAGCAGCCGCGGUAAUUCCAGCUCCAGUAGUGUAUAUCAACAUUGUUGCGCUUAAAACGCUCGUAGUUGGAUUACAGGACUGCAAACAUAGUCGCAUCGUGCGAUAGUGGUCGUAGCAUGCCUGUUAGCAGCCCAGUUAACGCCAGGUUCGCGCUUGGUUGUCUAUUGGUGUCUGUUAGCGGGUAGCUCGACGCAGUCCUUUUGUCGCACUGGUCCCGGGAGGCUCCUUUAAUGGAGUUGAACGGACACCGGUGGAGUGUGCCUUGAAUAAAGCAUAGUGCUCAAUGCAAGCGUACGCUCGUGUGUAAUAGCAUGGAACGAAUAUUUUUGACCGGUCAUUGGUCUGUGUACUUUUGCGUGCAUAUGUCAGUGACUCGGUUCGAUCAGUGUUGGUUGGAACCACGGUCUCAACGGUUAAAAGGGACAUCUGAGGGCACUAGUACUUUGUGGCGAGAGGUGAAAUUCUUAGACCCACAAAAGACUGACUAUUGCGAAAGCAUUUGCCAAGAGUGUUUUCAUUAAUCAAGAACGAAGGUCAGAGGAUCGAAGACGAUCAGAUACCGUCCUAGUUUUGACAGAAAACAAUGCCAGCAUAGGGUCGAGGCGGUCACUCGUUGAUAGCGAGUUGCACUACCGCGGUCCUUAGGGGAAACUUAGCUUUCGGGCUGCUGGGAGAAUAUUGCUGCAAGGCUGAAAUUUAAAGAAAUUGACGGAGAGGCACCACCAGGAGUGGAGCCUGCGGCUUAAUUUGACUCAACACGGGGAAACUCACCAGGUCCAGACAUUGGUAGGAUUGACAGAUUGGUAGAUCUUUCAUGAUUCGGUGAAUGGUGGUGCAUGGCCGUUCUUAGUUGGUGGAGUGAUCUGUCAGGUUUAUUCCGGUAACGAUCGAGACCACGGCCUUUAGUUGGUGGUUAGGUGCAUUGCAGUGUCAACUGGCGCUUGCAGCAUCUUUUGGCCUAACUAGAGGGACCAUCGGUGAAAAGCCGGAGGAAGCGUGGCAAUAACAGGUCUGUGAUGCCCUUCGAUGUCCUGGGCUGCACGCGCGCUACAAUGGCAGCAGUAGAGAGCAGGCUGGCCAGAGAUGGUUGGCAAAGCUGUAAAUAGCUGUCGUGACAGGGAUUGAGCCUUGUAAUUAUUGCUCAUGAAAGAGGAAUUCCUCGUAAGCACGAGUCAUCAACUUGUGUUGAAUAUGUCUCUGCCUCUUGUACACACCGCCCGUCGCUACUACCGAUUGAAUUGUUUCUAAAGCUGGCUGGACCGGACUGUCUCCGUUACUUGUAGCGGUGAAAGCUGGGAGGCCGA